rnacentral:rRNA from 1 species
AUUGAACGCUGGCGGCAGGCCUAACACAUGCAAGUCGAGCGGAUGAAGGGAGCUUGCUCCUGGAUUCAGCGGCGGACGGGUGAGUAAUGCCUAGGAAUCUGCCUGGCAGUGGGGGAUAACGUCCGGAAACGGGCGCUAAUACCGCAUACGUCCUGAGGGAGAAAGUGGGGGAUCUUCGGACCUCACGCUAUCAGAUGAGCCUAGGUCGGAUUAGCUAGUUGGUGGGGUAAAGGCCUACCAAGGCGACGAUCCGUAACUGGUCUGAGAGGAUGAUCAGUCACACUGGAACUGAGACACGGUCCAGACUCCUACGGGAGGCAGCAGUGGGGAAUAUUGGACAAUGGGCGAAAGCCUGAUCCAGCCAUGCCGCGUGUGUGAAGAAGGUCUUCGGAUUGUAAAGCACUUUAAGUUGGGAGGAAGAGCAGUAAGUUAAUACCUUGCUGUUUUGACGGUACCAACAGAAUAAGCACCGGCUAACUUCGUG